GACGAACGCUGGCGGCGUGCUUAACACAUGCAAGUGGAGCGACGAACCAGGGCUUGCCCUGGGGCAGAGCCGCGAACGGGUGAGUAACACGUGGGUAACGUGCCCCGAUGACUGGGACAACCCGGGGAAACCCGGGCUAAUACCGGAUAUGCCCCCUGACAUCUGUCAGGUGUGUAAAGGAAGCUUCGGCCUCCGCAUCGGGAUCGGCCCGCGGCGCAUUAGCUUGUUGGUGGGGUAACGGCCUACCAAGGCAACGAUGCGUAGCUGGUCUGAGAGGACGCUCAGCCACACUGGGACUGAGACACGGCCCAGACUCCUACGGGAGGCAGCAGUGGGGAAUCUUGCACAAUGCGCGAAAGCGUGAUGCAGCAACGCCGCGUGCGGGAAGACGGCCUUCGGGUUGUAAACCGCUUUCAGUUGGGACGAAGGUCGGCGCGUUAAUAGCGGGUCCGACUGACGGUACCUUCACAAGAAGCUCCGGCUAACUUCGUGCCAGCCGCCGCGGUAACAC
rnacentral:rRNA from 1 species